rnacentral:lncRNA from 1 species
AGAGAUUAAAACGUGAUUGCAUUUUACAUGGUAAGAAAUGGUAAUACAGUGAUAUUCAUCUUUGUUCGAUAUGAUCUAAAUCGACAAAUAAUGUUUGACAAAUUAAAAUAACAGUUAUAACCGUUGAUUUUCUUUGUCAUAAUUUGAUCAAUUUUCAAUCUAGUUUCUACACAAGGCCCUUACAUUGGUGACUCGGCUAAGUUUAGAUCUAAACAAGAAUCACAAUUCCAAACCAAAUUAAUCAAGCAUAAAGCAGGGCAAUAGGCCCACGACAAAGUGUUCUUGAACAUUCUAAUCCGCCGGGGCAGCCGCACUACCACCGUCCACGGUGGUUUUCACCUCUCCAUACCAGUCUCAAAUAUCACGAGUUAAGACUAGACCUUCAUUGCCCUCAACUGUUGCCCAUUCCUUUCACCUGAUAAACACCUCCAAAUUUAUUAAUGUUGGCAAAGUAGGUGAAGAUAUGAUAUGAUCUCGAUAUGAUAUGAUCUCGAUCGCAAAAUCUUGCCCACAUGUUACACGUAUCACAUCUAUAUGAAACAAGGUCCUCCACAAAGUUAUUUGUUGGCUCAGCCAUAGGUUUUACCAACUACUUGGCCACAUGCACCUCUACGGGGCUUAUGGGCUUCUUGCAAAUUUUGAUCCUCAAAUUUUCUAGUGUGACAAG